ensembl:lncRNA
CGUGUAUCUACUGGAGCGGUAAGGAAAUUGGAGUGGGUCCAGUGUGGCUGGUAUGCUGGCCUUGAUGUGGGCCAUGACCUGCCUCUGGAAGCAUUUCAUGAUGACCGAGAUUUGCGGAGCUCGUACCUGCUUGCCUUGUAUGCGUCACCCGCCACCGAGUCAUCGGGGUUCAUUCUGCUGACAUUGAAUGCUGCAUUACAGGCUCUCAGCAUGAGGACCUGAGCCCUAGGACCAUGCCCCAGGAUUACCUGACAUGAUGACUCCUUGCUGUCUCCAGUCCACCUGGCCGGGCUGCUUCUCCAGUUUCAACUGUUCUGCCUUCUUAUUAUUCGAACAUGCUGAUCAUUUAUGAACAUUUGAACAUCUUGGCCGUGUUCUGUUAUAAUCUCCACCCGGCACAGCCAGAAGAGGACUGGCCACCCCACAUAUGCUCUCUCUAAUUCUCUCUUUUUUUCUCUCUCUCGGAGGACCUGAGCCCUAGGACCAUGCCCCAGGACUACCUGACAUGAUGACUCCUUGCUGUCCCCAGUCCAUCUGACCGUGCUGCUGCUCCAGUUUCAACUGUUCUGCCUUAUUAUUAUACGACCAUGCUGGUCAUUUAUGAACAUUUUAACAUCUUGGCCAUGUUCUGUUAUAAUCUCCACCCGGCACAGCCAGAAGAGGACUGGCCACCCCACAUAGCCUGGUUCCUCUCUAGGUUUCUUCCUAGGUUUUGGCCUUUCCAGGGAGUUUUUCCUAGCCACCGUGCUUCUACACCUGCAUUGCUUGCUGUUUGGGGUUUUAGGCUGGGUUUCUGUACAGCACUUUGAGAUAUCAGCUGAUGUACGAAGGGCUAUAUAAA